AAACAUAGCCUUUAGCUCACACAAUAUUAAAGGUGUCGCCUGCCCAGUGAAAACUUUUAACGGCCGCGGUAUCCUAACCGUGCAAAGGUAGCGUAAUAACUUGCCUUCUAAAUAAAGACUAGUAUGAACGGCUAAAUGAGGACACAACUGUCUCCUGAGAUAAAUCAAUGAACCUGAUCUUUCAGUACAAAAGCUGAAAUAAAACCAUAAGACGAGAAGACCCUGCGGAGCUUUAAAAACACCACUUUCCCCCUCAAGUGCCUUUUAAGUUGGGGCGACUACGGAAACAAAAAAAACUUCCACGACCAGGACUAACCCCCCAAAAAAGGUCUCACACACCAAUCCAAAAUUGACCCAGCAUGCUGACCAACGAACCAAGUUACCCCAGGGAUAACAGCGCCAUCCUCUUCUAGAGCCCCUAUCGCCAAGAGGGUUUACGACCUCGAUGUUGGAUCAGGACCACCUAGUGGCGCAGCCGCUACUAAAGGUUCGUUUGUUCAACGAUUAAAGUCCUACGUGAUCUGAGUUCAGACCGGAGUAAUCCAGGUCGUUUU
rnacentral:rRNA from 1 species